GAUGAACGCUAGCGGCAGGCCUAACACAUGCAAGUCGAGGGAGGAGCUUUCGGGCUUCGACCGGCGUACGGGUGCGUAACGCGUAUACAAUCUGCCUUUCACAUAGGGAUAGCCCGAAGAAAUUUGGAUUAAUACCUAAUGGUAUAUAGGAGUGGCAUCACAUUUAUAUUAAAGCUGAGGCGGUGAAAGAUGAGUAUGCGUUCUAUUAGCUAGUUGGAGAGGUAACGGCUCCCCAAGGCUACGAUAGAUAGGGGUUCUGAGAGGGAUAUCCCCCACACUGGUACUGAGAUACGGACCAGACUCCUACGGGAGGCAGCAGUGAGGAAUAUUGGACAAUGGUCGGAAGACUGAUCCAGCCAUGCCGCGUGCAGGAAGACGGCCUUAUGGGUUGUAAACUGCUUUUGCAGGGGAAGAAUAAGGACUACGAGUAGUUUGAUGACGGUACUCUGCGAAUAAGCAU
rnacentral:rRNA from 1 species